CAGCAGCCGCGGUAAUACGGAGGGUGCAAGCGUUAAUCGGAAUUACUGGGCGUAAAGCGCACGCAGGCGGUCUGACAAGUCAGAUGUGAAAUCCCUGAGCUUAACUUAGGAAUUGCAUUCGAUACUGGGAAGCUAGAGUAUGGGAGAGGAUGGUAGAAUUCCAGGUGUAGCGGUGAAAUGCGUAGAGAUCUGGAGGAAUACCGAUGGCGAAGGCAGCCAUCUGGCCUAAUACUGACGCUGAGGUACGAAAGCAUGGGGAGCAAACAGGAUUAGAUACCCCUGUAGUCCCUGUCUCUUAUAC
rnacentral:rRNA from 1 species